rnacentral:rRNA from 1 species
UGCAAGUCGAACGAUGAAUCUUCUAGCUUGCUAGAAGUGGAUUAGUGGCGCACGGGUGAGUAAUGCAUAGGUUAUGUGCCCUUUAGUCUGGGAUAGCCACUGGAAACGGUGAUUAAUACUGGAUACUCCCUACGGGGGAAAGUUUUUCGCUAAAGGAUCAGCCUAUGUCCUAUCAGCUUGUUGGUGAGGUAAUGGCUCACCAAGGCUAUGACGGGUAUCCGGCCUGAGAGGGUGAUCGGACACACUGGAACUGAGACACGGUCCAGACUCCUACGGGAGGCAGCAGUAGGGAAUAUUGCUCAAUGGGGGAAACCCUGAAGCAGCAACGC